UGGGGGAUAUUGCACAAUGGAGGAAACUCUGAUGCAGCAACGCCGCGUGAGGGAAGAAGGUCUUCGGAUUGUAAACCUUAGUAGUCAGGGACGAAAGAAAUGACGGUACCUGAAGAGUAAGCUCCGGCUAACUACGUGCCAGCAGCCGCGGUAAUACGUAGGGAGCGAGCGUUGUCCGGAUUUACUGGGUGUAAAGGGUGCGUAGGCGGGACUGCAAGUCAGACGUGAAAUACCGGGGCUUAACCUCGGGGCUGCGUUUGAAACUGCGGUUCUUGAGUGAAGUAGAGGCAGGCGGAAUUCCUAGUGUAGCGGUGAAAUGCGUAGAUAUUAGGAGGAACACCAGUGGCGAAGGCGGCCUGCUGGGCUUUAACUGACGCUGAAGCACGAAAGCAUGGGGAGCAAACA
rnacentral:rRNA from 1 species